rnacentral:misc_RNA from 1 species
AGCCCAGUUUGCCUCAACUCUUUCAGCUGCUGAAUUAAUAAAUGACAAAGAAGCAAACUACGCCAUGGAAAGAUACGGAGACAAAUUUAUGGAUGACUAUCAAGCCAUUAUGACCAAGAAAAUCGGUCUGCCAAAGUACAACAAACAGUUAAUCGGCAAGCUUCUCAACAACAUGGCUGUUGACAAGGUUGAUUAUACAAAUUUUUUUAGAUCACUUUCCAAUAUCAAAGCUGAUCCCAGCACCCCAGAGGAGGAGCUGUUGGUCCCUCUGAAGGCAGUUCUGUUAGAUAUUGGCAAGGAGCGUAAGG